rnacentral:rRNA from 1 species
GAUGAACGCUGGCGGCGUGCCUAAUACAUGCAAGUCGAGCGAACAGAUGAGGAGCUUGCUCCUCUGACGUUAGCGGCGGACGGGUGAGUAACACGUGGAUAACAUACCUAUAAGACUGGGAUAACUUCGGGAAACCGGAGCUAUUACCGGAUAAUAUAUUGAACCGCAUGGUUCAAUAGUGAAAGACGGUUUUGCUGUCACUUAUAGAUGGAUCCGCGCCGCAUUAGCUAGUUGGUAAGGUAACGGCUUACCAAGGCAACGAUGCGUAGCCGACCUGAGAGGGUGGUCGGCCACACUGGAACUGAGACACGGUCCAGACUCCUACGGGAGGCAGCAGUAGGGAAUCUUCCGCAAGGGGCGAAAGCCGGACGGAGCAACGCCGCGUGAGUGAUGAAGGUCUUCUGAUCGUAAAACUCUGUUAUUAGGGAAGAACAAAUGUGUAAGUAACUAUGCACGUCUUGACGGUACCUAAUCAGAAAGCCACGGCUAACUACGUG